UUAACCGAAAGUUUACUUUUGGAGCGGUUAGUGGCGGACUGGUGAGUAACACGUAAGCAACCUGCCUAUCAGAGGGGAACAACAGUUAGAAAUGACUGCUAAUACCGCAUAUGCCUAAGUAUCACAUGGUACAAUAGGGAAAGAAGCAAUUCGCUGAUAGAUGGGCUUGCGUCUGAUUAGAUAGUUGGUGGGGUAACGGCCUACCAAGUCAACGAUCAGUAGCCGGACUGAGAGGUUGAACGGCCACAUUGGGACUGAGAUACGGCCCAGACUCC
rnacentral:rRNA from 1 species